CAAGGAUUUCAGCAACAACUUUCUGAAAGCACAAGGAGACCUGGAGCUGGAGAUGAUUACAAGUCUUAAAGUAAUUUCAUACGAACAAACCAUUUCAAAGUACCAAGAGUCUCCUGUCUUGGCUGAGACAACGUGGCUACUUAAACCAUUUUCCUGGCAAAACCUCCCCCUUCUGAUGCUAACAGUGUCAAGAUUUUCCUUUGGAGAGCCAUUCUCCAGUUUUAGAUCUUACAUAGGAGUGGGAUUCAAGAAUGAAAAUGUAACCCAGCCUUGCCUGGGUUUUAAGUGAACAGUUUUCCAUGAGUACUUGGUAAAGGAACUGGUUACUUG